GACGAACGCUGGCGGCGUGCUUAACACAUGCAAGUCGAACGGGAAGGCCCUGCUUUUGUGGGGUGCUCGAGUGGCGAACGGGUGAGUAACACGUGAGUAACCUGCCCUUGACUUUGGGAUAACUUCAGGAAACUGGGGCUAAUACCGGAUAGGAGCUCCUGCUGCAUGGUGGGGGUUGGAAAGUUUCGGCGGUUGGGGAUGGACUCGCGGCUUAUCAGCUUGUUGGUGGGGUAGUGGCUUACCAAGGCUUUGACGGGUAGCCGGCCUGAGAGGGUGACCGGCCACAUUGGGACUGAGAUACGGCCCAGACUCCUACGGGAGGCAGCAGUGGGGAAUAUUGCACAAUGGGCGGAAGCCUGAUGCAGCAACGCCGCGUGCGGGAUGACGGCCUUCGGGUUGUAAACCGCUUUCGCCUGUGACGAAGCGUGAGUGACGGUAAUGGGUAAAGAAGCACCGGCUAACAACGUG
rnacentral:rRNA from 1 species